GGCAGCCGCGGUAAUUCCAGCUCCAAUAGCGUAUAUUAAAGUUGUUGCAGUUAAAAAGCUCGUAGUUGAAUUUCGGGAUCAAUAUGUUGGUCGUGCCUCGGUACGUACUAGCUUAUUGGUUUCUCCUUUCUGAAGAACCAUGAUGUCAUUUAUUUGGUGUCGUGGGGAAUCAGGACUGUUACUUUGAAAAAAUUAGAGUGUUUAAAGCAGGCUCACGCUUGAAUACAUUAGCAUGGAAUAAUGAAAUAGGACGUUUGAUUCUAUUUUGUUGGUUUCUAGGAUCGACGUAAUGAUUAAUAGGGAUAGUUGGGGGCAUUAGUAUUCAAUUGUCAGAGGUGAAAUUCUUGGAUUUAUUGAAGACUAACUACUGCGAAAGCAUUUGCCAAGGAUGUUUUCAUUAAUCAAGAACGAAAGUUAGGGGGUCGAAGACGAUCAGAUACCGUCGUAGUCUUAACCAUAAACUAUGCCGACUAGGGAUCGGAUGAUGUAAUUUUUUAAUGUACUCA
rnacentral:rRNA from 1 species